ensembl:lncRNA TRHDE-AS1 TRHDE antisense RNA 1
AGGAGUCCCCGCCUGCGUGGUGGUUGCGCCGGGCCGAUCCAGGGAGGCUCCCGUUGCCGCCGCGCUCCGGAAAGCCUGAGGGGCCACCGUCGGCGCCUGGCGUGGCACUCGCCCCGCACUCGUCGAAGCGCAGGCUGAGCAGCACAGCGAGCAUUGUGACCGCGAGCAAUGCCACGAGGGACACAGCGAAGGCCAGCACAAGCCGCUUGUGUACGGCGAUGUGGCGCUCCGUGGUGCGGGGUCGCACUCCCACUGAGUCUGCCCACGGGUCGGAGAGCCCCCUGCUGCCAGCCCGAAGCGCGGCGUCGUCUUCCCCCAUCGCGGCUGCGAAGGCUCGCCGUCCAGGGCCAUCACACCGCCUCCUCCUCCUCCCCCGCCCCCUCUGGCACCCCCCGCGGGCGGGCCACCCGGGCCACAGCCAGAGCAGGCAUCGGAGAGCUCACGCGGGCCGAGGGCGCGCGACUGGGGAUGCUGGCCCGGGUUCUUUUAAGACGGGUUCUGGACACAAGCGACGGCAGCUUCCGCGACCCCCAUCAGCCCCGCCUCACUCUGGACACCGGGCUGUGAGCUCUGGGACGCGCCCAACUUGGAAAGCGUCUUGCUUGCCCAGCGCGCGCUACUUCUCGGACGAGCACCCGGCGGCGGGGCACAUGCUGCCCCCGCCCCUGCGCGCCUGCGGCUCCCGGCUCUCCCUCCCCUGCGCCGCGCUCUCGCCUCGCUUUCCGCGGGAGCCUUCCAACCGGUUCUCGGCUAGGGAGAAGGACGGGAGCGGUGGGAAGAGCGAGGGUGUAGAGAGGGAAGUUAGGGCUUUCGCUUUCUCCCCCCACUCCAGCGGCGGCGUUCGGUCCUCUGGGUGGAAUGUGCUCGCAGCAGCAGUGACGGCGGCCACAGCACGGGAGGCACCCGAGCCAUACACCCUGCAGCUGGAGAGAAAAGGAUGGCCGAGGUGGGAGAGACUAGAGUGAACCAGCAGGAGGAAGUCCCAGGGCCGCGAAGCUACGACGGAGAUCCGUCCUGGAAAAGCCUUCUCCACCCUGGGCACUUUAAGCGGCGGUGGCGGCAAACGGCAGGAGGUUGCAGACCCGACAGCGAGACUCCCUCAUUCCAGUCUUGCUCUGCCCUCCGGAGAUGACAAGUGAGAAAGAAGUGUCCGGCCGGGCCAUCCCCUUCAGUUACCAAGAAUAACUGUAAAAUGUGCUGGGAAUGCAAUGUCCUGAGAUAAGGAAGAACUGCCUGAAACAGCCUGGAUCUUAUUCCUGUACUUCCUAGGGAAUGUAACAUCUCAAGUUAAAGAGGAACUGCCCGGAACAGCCCGGGGAUUGUUCCUCUCUCCUGAGAAGGAAGAUUACCUCCAAAGCUCAUCCACUGAGUCACACUGCCCCUGUGGUGGAGGGCGGGCUGCCUUUCCAGGUUCCUCAGCUGUGGUGUAACUGAAGCAGGCACAAUCAAGACUCCAUCUGCUCGAGGCAGCUUUCUCGAACCUUGGGGAACCUACUCACAAUGGAUCACAGGCUUCUUUUGUUUUGUUUCUUGCUGCCUAUCUGUAAGUAAUUAACUUGCUUCAUGUAACGUGUUGCAUAUGAGUGUGUUCUGUCUCAUAGACUCAGGGAAUUGGUAACACUGCAGCUGAGGACGCAGUGGACAGAAGUGUUCAGACUCCUGUUCCUUGUGGUUGACACAGUGAUGAUGAUCUCUUCUGUCCUCCACAGAGUGGAAGUCCUCUCUUGGGAUUGGUUAUUGGUGAAACCACUUCGCAAUUUAUUAAGAUGGCAAAAGCUUACGGAGGGACAGAUUUGAGGGGAAGAUCAAGAUUUUUCUGUCAGUAUUGCAAAUAGUCAAGAAUAUGUGGUCCAAGAAGUGAUCAUUAUCUUUGGCAUUGUGCAAGUCAUUAGUGACCUUCACAUGAACAGUCUCAGUGGAGUGUUGGAGGAAAAAGCCUAACUGAAGAAGGUUCAAGAGUGAAUGGAAAAAGAGCAGUAGUAUGUGGAGAGUACAGACAAGUAUUUCCAGGAGCCUUUCUGUAAAGAGUGGUAGAGAAUGGGACAUCAUUUUUGGAUGGGGGAAGAGUUAUUUAUAGCAUGUUCAUAUGCUAAUGGAAGUGAUCUACUCAUGGGGAAAAUCUUGAUGAUGCAAGAAAGAAAGGGAUUUGUUGGAAUCUUGUCCUAUAACGGGUGAGAGGGGAUGGGUUCUAGAAGAAAAGGCAUGGGUCUUUGUUUGAGAUCAGGCAAUUCAUCUGUAGGAACCAGUAGGAAGAUGGUUAAGUGGGUACCUGUGGUAGUGGAUGUUUGUGAACAUUCUUUUCUUUUCCAUUGUUUCUAUUUUCUCAAUAAAGUGGGAAGCAAAAAUCAGCUGAGUGAAGAUGAGGAAGAAGGUGUUAAAGGUUUGAAGAAAAAAGGAAAAGGAUAUACUAAUCUAAGAGGACAAGUAAGUAGAACAUAGAUAAUGAAAAUGCUGGCCCUUAGGACUGUUGGGCCUAAAUGCUCAUAUUAUAUUGGUAGUCACAAAUUUGAACUUUCUCUAGAGCCAAUUUUUGCAUGUGUGUGCAGGCCUGGAGUAGUUGGAGAGUUGGAUUUAAUAGAAUUGAGGGUCAAGCAACUACAACCAGGGAAGAGUGGGACAAGGGAGAUAAAGGAUAUUGGCAGGGGAGCAAUUAUAAACAUGGACCAUGAUCAAAACUGGACAGGAAGGAAAAUAGAGAUAAGAGGGGUGGAAGGUUAAAAAUAGUGAAAAUGAGAUAGAAUGAAUAGGUUGUAGGUCCCUGUAAAGUUGAAGAAGUAUUAUUAUGCAGUACUCGUUAUUGAAAUGAGGUCACUAUGCUUAAGGCACAGUGAAUCCUAGAAAAUAGUGGUUUUGUUUCUCAUUAGGCAAUACAUUCCUCCUUGCUCCAGAAUGCAACAUACAUGUAUCCUUUUCUGUACUAUUUUUUAUUAAGAAUUCAUACUUAAUUCCACUGACUGCCACUCAAUUUUAAUGUACAGUAGGGAAUUCCUGUACUAUGUAUUAUGAAUCCAUUCCUUUGAAUUUCAUUUAUAAUACUUCAUGACUGACACCUGGCUUUCCACCAAGACUCAAUUUUCAUAGCAAGCCUCAUCAUCAUAAGCCCCCAAAUUAACAGGAUGAGGAGGAAGAAUUGGCAGGCUAAAGAAGAUGAUUAUAUCAAUUAAUGCAGAAAAAGCAUUUGAUAAAAUCCAAUAUUCAUUUGUAAUUAAAAACUCUCAGCAAGUUAGGGAUAGGAAUUACUUCAACUUAAUGAAGAGUGUCUUUAAAAACCUUAUUUUCAUCAGUUAUAACAAAUGUACCACUCUGGUGGUGAAUGUUGCUAAGGAGGGAAGCUAUACAUGUGUGGGGAAAGGAGAUGUGUGAGCAAUUUCUGUACCUUCUACUCAAUCUUCUGUGAGACUAAAAUUGCUGUAAAAAAUAAAGUUCAUUUUUUU